rnacentral:rRNA from 1 species
UCGAGAGUUUGAUCCUGGCUCAGGAUGAACGCUAGCGGCAGGCUUAACACAUGCAAGUCGAGGGGUAUAGUUCUUCGGAGCUAGAGACCGGCGCACGGGUGCGUAACGCGUAUGCAAUCUACCUUUUACAGAGGGAUAGCCCAGAGAAAUUUAGGUAUUAAUACCUCAUAGUAUGUGAGAAUCGCAUGGUUUUCACAUUAAAGUCACAACGGUAAAAGAUGAGCAUGCGUCCCAUUAGCUAGAUGGUAAGGUAACGGCUUACCAUGGCAACGAGUGGGUAGGGGUCCUGAGAGGGAGACUCCCCCACACGUGGUACUGAGACACGGACCAGACUCGUACGGGA